GAUGAACGCUGGCGGCGUGCCUAACACAUGCAAGUCGAGCGGGGAUUUGGAAGGCGCUUGCGCCUUCUGAAUUCUAGCGGCGGACGGGUGAGUAACGCGUGGGUAACCUGCCUUAUACAAGGGAAUAACAAUGAGAAAUCAUUGCUAACGCCCUAUAAGCUCACAGCUUCGCAUGAAGCGGGGAGAAAAUGUUUACAGGUAUAAGAGGGGCCCGCGGCUGAUUAGCUAGUUGGCGGGGUAACGGCCUGCCAAGGCGACGAUCAGUAGCCGACCUGAGAGGGCGAUCGGCCACAUUGGGACUGAGACACGGCCCAAACUCCUACGGGAGGCAGCAGUGGGGAAUAUUGCACAAUGGGCGCAAGCCUGAUGCAGCAACGCCGCGUGAAGGACGAAGGGUUUCGGCUCGUAAACUUCUUUAAGCGGGGACGAAGAAAAUGACGGUACCCGCAGAAUAAGCGCCGGCUAACUACGUGCCAGCAGCCGCGGUAAUACGUAGGGCGCGAGCGUUAUCCGGAAUGACUGGGUGUAAAGGGUGAGUAGGCGGUCUGGCAAGUCAUAUGUGAAAUCCCCGGGCUUAACCCUGGGACUGCAUAAGAAACUGCCGGGCUGGAGUGCGGGAGAGGUAAGCGGAAUUCCUGGUGUAGCGGUGAAAUGCGUAGAUAUCAGGAAGAACACCAGUGGCGAAGGCGGCUUACUGGACCGUUACUGACGCUGAGUCACGAAAGCGUGGGGAGCGAACAGGAUUAGAUGCCCUGGUAGUCCACGCCGUAAACGAUGAGCGCUAGGUGUCGGGUCGAGAGAUUCGGUGCCGCAGCUAACGCAAUAAGCGCUCCACCUGGGGAGUACGGUCGCAAGAUUGAAACUCAAAGGAAUUGACGGGGGCCCGCACAAGCGGUGGAGCAUGUGGUUUUAAUUUCGAAGCAACGCGAAGAACCCUUACCAAGGCUUGACAUGGAGAA
rnacentral:rRNA from 1 species